UACAGAGGGUGCGAGCGUUGUCCGGAAUCACUGGGCGUAAAGGGCGCGUAGGCGGCCUGAUAAGUCGGGGGUGAAAUCCUGUGGCUUAACCACAGGGCUGCCUCCGAGACUGUCGGGCUCGAGCACAGUAGAGGCAGGUGGAAUUCCCGGUGUAGCGGUGGAAUGCGUAGAGAUCGGGAAGAACAUCGGUGGCGAAGGCGGCAUCCUGGACCGAGAUUGACGCUGAGGCGCGAAAGCCAGGGGAGCAAACGGG
rnacentral:rRNA from 1 species